rnacentral:rRNA from 1 species
UACGUAGGGGGCAAGCGUUGUCCGGAUUUAUUGGGCGUAAAGAGCGCGUAGGCGGUUCGGUAGGUCCGUUGUGAAAACUCGAGGCUCAACCUCGAGACGCCGAUGGAAACCCCCGAACUAGAGUCCGGAAGAGGAGAGUGGAAUUCCCGGUGUAGCGGUGAAAUGCGCAGAUAUCGGGAAGAACACCCGUGGCUAAGGCGGCUCUCUAGUACGGUACUGACGCUGAGACGCGAAAGCGUGGGGAGCGAACAGG